rfam:Schistosoma haematobium scaffold324_7, whole genome shotgun sequence.
AUCCAGCUGAUGAGUCUCAAAUAGGACGAAAUGCGCGUUUCGGAU